CCGCGGAGAGCUGAGAUAGAGCUCGCCUUGGCUUGCUGGCCAUGGCUGGAGCUCCUCCGAAGAGCCGGGGCGCCCACGCGAGAAUCCCUCACCUGGUCUCUCUUCAGUGAUGACGUCAUGGGCUUGUCCCCUGUCUUCAAGGACCACCUCCUCUGGAUGCCAAGCUGCUGCAAAGUGCCUUUCCACCUCAUGAGGGCCCAGGAGAACAGAUUCCUGGACCCCAUCAGCAUACAACGCAGCCACCAGAAGACCCCCAGGACCAGGAUGGUGAAGAACGAAGAGGAGCAGCCCUUACCGGCCAGCCCUCGCUUCUGGCUAAAGAUUUAAACUAGUGCCCUAGUGAGGGGGCAUUGGUUAUUACCCCCGAUCUUUGCUAUGCUUGUGCCUUGACCCUGAAUACUUCCCUGUGUUCUUUGCUUGUGUUCACCUGCCAGCAAACUGGAGUGCUUCCCUCCCCAAGGGGGAGGUCAGUCUUUGGUGACUGACCAGGUUGUCCUUACAGUGUCCUGAAUGGAAGGAUCCCUUUGGGAACCUCUCAGGAGGGGGACCUGGGCCAAGGGUCACCAGCAUCUAGCUGGCAAUUCCAGGGCCCUGGGUGGGCUUCUGGAAUGAGCAUGCGACUGACA